rnacentral:rRNA from 1 species
CAGGGUACUCGAGUGGCGAACGGGUGAGUAACACGUGGGUGAUCUGCCCUGCACUUCGGGAUAAGCUUGGGAAACUGGGUCUAAUACCGGAUAGGAACCAUCUUUAGUGUUGUGGUUGGAAAGUUUUUUCGGUGUAGGAUGAGCUCGCGGCCUAUCAGCUUGUUGGUGGGGUAAUGGCCUACCAAGGCGGCGACGGGUAGCCGGCCUGAGAGGGUGUACGGCCACAUUGGGACUGAGAUACGGCCCAG